rnacentral:rRNA from 1 species
GAUGAACGCUGGCGGCGUGCCUAAUACAUGCAAGUCGAGCGAACAGACGAGGAGCUUGCUCCUCUGACGUUAGCGGCGGACGGGUGAGUAACACGUGGAUAACCUACCUAUAAGACUGGGAUAACUUCGGGAAACCGGAGCUAAUACCGGAUAACAUGUUGAACCGCAUGGUUCAACAGUGAAAGACGGUCUUGCUGUCACUUAUAGAUGGAUCCGCGCCGCAUUAGCUAGUUGGUAAGGUAACGGCUUACCAAGGCAACGAUGCGUAGCCGACCUGAGAGGGUGAUCGGCCACACUGGAACUGAGACACGGUCCAGACUCCUACGGGAGGCAGCAGUAGGGAAUCUUCCGCAAUGGGCGAAAGCCUGACGGAGCAACGCCGCGUGAGUGAAGAAGGUCUUCGGAUCGUAAAACUCUGUUAUUAGGGAAGAACAAAUGUGUAAGUAACUAUGCACGUCUUGACGGUACCGAAACAGAAAGCCACGGCUAACUACGUG